CUCAACCUCGUUAUAUCUUUUGGGCAGGACUCAAUAGUGAGAAAGUGACAAACCAUGAUCUCAAAGAUAUUGUAUGGGACCUGGAACUGUCACAAAACGUUAUUGAGGCCUAUAUCCAAAUAGAAGAGGAUAAAAUAGACCCCAUGCAGACAGGGAGUCCAUAGUACAUGUCCACAUGGACUUG